rnacentral:lncRNA from 1 species
GAUAAGAAUUAAACAAUGGAAAAUUAUAAAUUUUUGCUUAAAAGGAAAUAGUUCCGAAACUUCAAAUUACCCAAACUUCCAUAAUACAUGAAUUACAUCCCAAUUUGAACUAAAAUUAUACAAAACUGCCAUGGCUUAAUGAAGCUUGAAUCAAAGGGGAAUUUUAAAUUUACAUGCCCUAAUAAAUUAAAACUAACUGAUGAUGCGAAGAACACUGCCAUCUAUUCAAUUACCAACUCAAGAUGCCAAAUUUUGGAUUUGAACUUGUACCAAAUGGACUUCAAUUGAUUCCAAUGGAGCACGACUGAAUCAUCAACUCCCAGGCCCUUUUCUUUUAACAACCUUUAAAAUUCUAACCUUGGUUUAUGGCUUGCCAAUCUAAUCAACAACAGUCAGACCAGCUUGCUUAUAACCAUGAUGUCCUACUAUGGCUUGAAACUAAAGAACAAUACUAACAACGAACAAAAACAAACAUAUUUUUGAAAGAAACAAAAAAAUAUCACUGCAUGAUGGCAUGUUUUUAAACCAACUACUGAACACUAAUAAGCCAUUCCUAUUGUUUUAUUACUUUAACCAUUACUCAAACACAAAACCAAAGUAGAUUUGGAGCUUUGAAUCAGCUGAAAAAUCGAAAGACAAUUACUAGAAAAGCAGAAUCUAACUUCAUUCAUACUCAAAGUCCAAGGAAAUCAGCUUCUAUUCAAAAUACAACUCAAAACCAAGCAUACAAAGUUCAGAAAAUACCUAAAAAAGAAAAUGGAAAAACCAGAUCAAAGGAAGAAAGAAGUCUGCAGCAGCUCAGCUCAAAUCGAAUAUCAGCGAAUCCAAAAAACCAAAAUUUUGUUUCAGCUUUAGAAUAACUCUACCAAAUGACUCCAAAAAUAGCCAGAACUCAAAAAAUUUCUUCAGAAUUUUUUGGAAAAGAGCUGAUUUCAGCCGUUUGUGUUUUUUCACCCUUUUUUCUGUGUUCCUAAUGAUUGGAAAGAGGGCCUUUUAUAAAGAGGAUUAGGGCAACAACAUC